rnacentral:tRNA from 1 species
UGCCCUGUGGUGUAACUGGCAGCACAGCAGAUUUUGAGUCUGCCUGUCCGGGUUCAAAUCCUGGCGGGGCAA